CCUACGGGAGGCAGCAGUGGGGAAUUUUCCGCAAUGGGCGAAAGCCUGACGGAGCAAUACCGCGUGAGGGACGAAAGCCUGUGGGUUGUAAACCUCUUUUCUCAAGGAAGAAGUUCUGACGGUACUUGAGGAAUAAGCAUCGGCUAACUCUGUGCCAGCAGCCGCGGUAAUACAGAGGAUGCAAGCGUUAUCCGGAAUCACUGGGCAUAAAGCGUCUGUAGGUUGCCUACCAAGUCUGCUGUUAAAGAUCGGGGCCUAACCCUGAGAAAGCAGUGGAAACUAGUAGGCUUGAGUGUGGUAGAGGUAGAGGGAAUUCCUGGUGUAGCGGUGAAAUGCGUAGAUAUUAGGAAGAACACCAACGGCGAAAGCACUCUACUGGGCCAUAACUGACACUGAGAGACGACAGCUAGGGGAGCAAAUGGGAUUAGAUACCCCAGUAGUCCUAGCCGUAAACGAUGGAUACUAGGUGUUGCACGUAUUAACCCGUGCAGUAUCGUAGCUAAGGCGUUAAGUAUCCCGCCUGGGAAGUACGCUCGCAAGAGUGAAACUCAAAGGAAUUGACGG
rnacentral:rRNA from 1 species